AUUUGGCUUAUGUCACCGUGCAGACACUGAAGUUUAUGUUCUUCAGUAUUUUAUAGAACUUAAAAUCAGACACCAUGGUACCUAACCUCGGCUUUCAGGAGAUGACACCAAGAGAACAGAACUUUCAAGGGAAGGCUACAGAGCAGGAAACCCCGUUCAAGGAAGGACACAACCACUAUUGUAACCAGAGUCUAAAUGCCUCAUUUGAGUGCCGGGCACAUUUAUACAUCUGGGUGAGAUUGCAAAUUUGGUUUGGAUAUUACAAAUGCUGUGAGCUGCAUAGUUCUCCUAAGCAAGGAGAUGGUCUUCAUCCUCCUUACCACUUCCACCCUUGCCUACCCCAGGGACUUUCUGACAAGACCUAAUAUCAGAUUCAUCAGUGAGUAAGAAUCCCAAUUCUACGCAAAGAAAUUGAAUUGAUUCUGUUUUUUUCUAGAGAUGAAAUUGCUUCUUGUGGCUAUGAAGGUAGGUAUGGAGAAGCUAAGUGAGUUCUAUUUCUUAAUGGAUAGUUGAUUUUUUUUAUAUUUUUAGAAAGAUUAAGCCUAGCAAGUCAGUUCUACAAUUUCCACUUAUGAAAUAUAUAUUACAAAGGAAAUAUUUUAGUCUGAGUCCUUCAUCUAUACUACCAUGUAAAGAAUUUUAAAUAACAUAAUAGUCCCUAGUGGACCUCCGGUGAAAACCAUAAUAAUAAUAAUAAUAAUAAUAAUAAUAAUAAUAAUAGUAAUAGUAAUAGUAAUAGGCAUUGUCAUGUUUAGCUUCCUUGAGGUAUAAAAUGAUAAGAAAUUGAAAGCUAUAUUUUUCUUUUUCUUUUUCUUUUUCUUUUUUUAUUUGAAUGGCAUUGGCGAGGCAUUAUUCGUCAGUCUUUACAAAUAAGAAAAACUCGCCUCACAACUGUUCAUAACUGCCCUUCUGGGCAGUCUGUCUCUUCACGGACACAGUCACAUAUAUUCAAGAAAACACACAGAAAAUUAAGCUGAAACUCGAUUUCCUUUUAAAUUAAAAGUAAACGAUUUUCUACUAUUGCU
rnacentral:sRNA from 1 species